UGAAAUACAAGUAGCGAAGUCCGUGAGCCAUGCGUCAAGAAAAGCCGCUAUUGUUUAUACCGUACCCGUACCGUAAACCGACACAGGUGGAUGAGGAGAGAAUCCUAAGGCCGGCGGAAGAAGCAUUGUCAAGGAACUCGGCAAAAUGACCCCGUAACUUCGGGAGAAGGGGUGCCACUGAGAAGUGGCCGCAGAGAAUAGGCUCAAGCAACUGUUUAGCAAAAACACAGGUCUAUGCGAAACCGAAAGGUGAGGUAUAUGGGCUGACGCCUGCCCGGUGCUGGAAGGUUAAGAGGAGAGGUUAGCGCAAGCGAAGCUUUGAAUUUAAGCCCCAGUAAACGGCGGCCGUAACAAUAACGGUCCUAAGGUAGCGAAAUUCCUUGUCGGGUAAGUUCCGACCCGCACGAAAGGCGUAAUGAUUUGAGCGCUGUCUCGACAAUGCAUCCGGUGAAAUUGAAGUACCAGUGAAGAUGCUGGUUACCUGCGCCAGGACGGAAAGACCCCAUGGAGCUUUACUCCAGUUUGGUACUGGGGUCCGGUAUUGCAUGUACAGGAUAGGUGGGAGGCUAGGAAGCAGUAACGCCAGUUGCUGCGGAGCCGCUGUUGGGAUACCACCCUUGCAGUACUGGGCUUCUAACCAGACGCCGUGAACCGGCGGUGGGACAAUGCCAGACGGGGAGUUUGACUGGGGCGGUCGCCUCCGAAAGGGUAUCGGAGGCGCCCAAAGGUUCCCUCAGAAUGGACGGAAACCAUUCGAAGAGUGCAAAGGCAGAAGGGAGCUUGACUGCGACACCGACGGGUGGAGCAGGUACGAAAGUAGGGCUUAGUGAUCCGGUGGUAUUAAGUGGGAAUGCCAUCGCUCAACGGAUAAAAGCUACCCUGGGAUAACAGGCUUAUCACUCCCAAGAGUUCACAUCGACGGAGUGGUUUGGCACCUCGAUGUCGGCUCAUCGCAUCCUGGGGCUGUAGUAGGUCCCAAGGGUUGGGCUGUUCGCCCAUUAAAGCGGUACGCGAGCUGGGUUCAGAACGUCGUGAGACAGUUCGGUCCCUAUCCGGCGUGGGCGUAGGAUAUCUGAGAGGAGCUGUCCUUAGUACGAGAGGACCGGGAUGGACGGACCGCUGGUGUACCGGUUAGACUGCCAAGUCUACGGCCGGGUAGCCAAGUCCGGAAGGGAUAAACGCUGAAGGCAUCUAAGCGUGAAGCCCCCCUCAAGAUGAGAUGUCCCAUUCGAAAGAAGUAAACCCCCUUGAAGACGACGAGGUAGAUAGGGCAGGGGUGGAAGUGCAGUAAUGCACGGAGCUGACUGUUACUAAUAGGGUGAGGGCUUGACC
rnacentral:rRNA from 1 species